GGAAAGGCCUCUUUAAAGAAUAAAAUGGGAUUCUGUGUUCCUGGGUUGGAUUCCUCAAGCCUGAUAGCUAUUUUUAGUUAGGUAACCUGAGCUAGGCCAGAGGCUAGGGGGAAGAGAAGAAUAAUUUCUCACACUGUACAAAUGCCAAAGAUAGAAGUAAGUUUUUCUUAUACGAGAUCUCUGUUUGUAAGGUUCUAUAGUAAUUAUCUAUUGCUGUGUAACAAAUCACCCCAAAACUUAAUGACUUAAAAGAAUAAACAUUUAUUAUCUCGUAUAUUGUGGGUCAGGAAUUCGGGAGAAGCUUAGUUGGGUGGUUCUGGUCAGGGUGUCUCAGGUACAAUCAAGAUGUCAGCUGGGGCAGCUCUCAUCUGAAGGUUUGACUGGGGCUGGAGAAUCAGCUUCCAAGAUGAUUCACUCACAUGCUUGGUUGGUACUAGUUGUUAAAAGGAGGCCUUAAUUCCUCACCUUAGUUCCUCAUCAUUCCACAGGGCUGCUUGAAUGUUCUCAUGACCUGGCAACUGGCUUCCCCCAGAGCAAGUGAUGCCAGAAAGAGACAAGGUGGAAGCCACAAUGUCUUUUAUGACCCAGCAUUGGAAGUCACACAGUCAUUUCUGCAGUCUCUUAAUAUGUGAGCCCUAUUCAGUAUGGAAGAGACUGCACGAGGGUGAUAGGAGGUGAGGAUCAUUAAGGGUCAUCUUGGAGACUGACUACCACAGGCAGUUAGAAUAGAAAGAACCUUGAAUGAGAAGUCAGGCAACUCUAGUUCCAGUCCUGGCUCUGUGGAACAGUAACCAACAACAUUCAAGAUGGCGGUUGCUUCCUGAGGGACUGCAAUGAGCAGAGCUCCCUGCUGCUGAUGGACAUGUGGUGGAGUUCUGCCACCAAAAUGUGAGGGUUGUUCAUUACCACAGCAUAACUAGCUUAUGCUGACGGAUAAAAUAUGUUUAUAUUAAUUAGGACUCUUGUAUUUGCAAGUGUAGAAACCCAACUCAAACUAACUUAAGCAAAAACAAACAAUCAAACAAACCCCACAAUGGGAGGGUUAUUGGAAAAGGUACUGAGAGGGUCUCAUAAAAUCCAAGGGUGGGGCUGCAGCUGGGCUCCAGAACAGAACCAGAGCAUGUAGCCCUUUAGGAACCCACAUGGUCUUUUCUCUCCUGUUCUCUGCCGUGAGUCUUGGUGUGUUUGCUUCAUUCUAUCUUACUUCAGUCCAGCUUUCUUUGUUUCCCAGGCCAUGUAGUGGAAGAUGGCUACUGCUGCUGUUAUCCAUGAAUGUUGCAGUAGAGUCAAGGAAAAUCCCCAGGUUUCUGGCUUGAGCAAGUGGGUGGAUGCUAGAGGUAUUGCUGGGAUAGAGAACUCUGGAUAAUGACCAAGUUUGGAGAGAAUAAUAAUGAGUUCAGUUUUAGGUAAAUCAGGUUUGAGAUACUUGUGGAAGAUGUAGGUGGAGAAGGCCAGUUGGGUGUUUGAAUCUGGAGCAUGGCUGUGAUGAGCGAUGGUUUCGGUCUGGGAGUCCAAAGAGAAGGGGAGGGCAGAGGACUGAUAAAUGUGAGGCACGGGCCAAGGAGGAGCAGGCCAAGGAGACUGAGAAGCAGUCUAGGCAGAGACAUAGUGUGGGACCCAGAAUGAGACAACACGACGAUCUCAUUCACUCUUCUGGCAGCACAGCAAGAUAGGUAGGCUUAUUUUAUGGAUGAAAAAACUGAGGCCUGGGAGGCUAAGUGAGUUAUUUGAGGUCAUGCACUUAGUUAGGUGCAGAGUCAGUCCCUGGCUCCUAAUCUGGGCUCUUUUCCACUCUUCCACAGCUGCCUCUGAAGGGUGAGCAGGGCAGGUAUCCUGGAGAGACAUGCCUCCAAGAACAGGAAACCAAACAGAACCUGCUCUGACAGUGUGACCAGGUGCACCUUGCUUCAUGAAAAAAGCCUCUGACUGAAAACCUUCAUGGAAAUCAGAUAUUUGCAAUCAAAAUCUAAUUUUUUCACUAAAUUGUAAUUUACCUUACCUAUUAUCAUACCAUAUUAUAAUAACUAUAAAGUUUUAACAAACAACAACACUUGCACUCCCACCUAAAAAAACAUUCUUUUCAUUUGUGUGUUUCCAGCACUUGAUUAUGAGCAGACAUCUUUUAUUAUUCUAUUCUAUUCUGUUUUAUAAUCCUAUUAUGAAUUAUUAUGUGGAUAAAAUUAUGUAUACUAUUUUAAACCAUAGUAUUACAGAGAUUUUCCCACAUUGCUAGAUAGUCUUUAUAUUUUUAACAUUUAAUCUUGUUUUUAUUUCUUUUAAAACUUAGAUCUUUUAAAAAAAUAUAGGCAAUGCAUACACAUGGAAUAAAAUUUAAAAGGUACAAAAUGCUACCAUUGUAAUGUAAGUCUUAUUCCUAUCCCUUUCCCCUGUAAACCCAGUCCCUUUCCUGGAAGACUAAAUGAUGGUAAAUGUCUUAUUUAUAUUCUUCAUAGAUAUUUUGUAUAUAUAUAUAAGCGUACAUUCUUUUUCAUAUAGUAGCAUACUAUACACACAUCCCUUCACUUUGUAAGAUUGUUUCAGGUCAGUAUAUAAAGAACAUCCUCAUUUUUAAAAACGGCUGUGGAGUCAUCCUCAUUUUUCGAAACAGCUGUGGAGUAUUGCGUUCAGUGGAUUUACCAUGACUUAUUUAGCUAGCCCCCUAUUGAGGAUGUUUAGGUUAUUACUAAUCUUUUUCUUUUACAAAUAAGGCUGCAGUGAGGAUCCCUGUAUAAAUGUGCAUGUGUGUCUGUGUGUGUGUCUGCAUAUUGUAUCACACACGGUGAGCACAGAGUUUGCGUUUCUAGAAGUGAUUUUCUGAGUCAAAGGACAUGUGCAUUUUUAUUUUAAUAGAUAUUAUCAUUGCCUUUCAUAAAACAUACCGAUUUAUAUUCCCAUUGGCAAUGUACAAUGCCUGAAUUUUAAAUGUUCUAGCAUCUUAGAUUUUUCUUCAUCUUUGAAGCUUUUUAUUAUAAAAUCUUUCAAACAUACAACAAACCCCAUGAACCCCAUGUACGCAUAACGCAGGUAAAACAAUCAACUCAUGGCCAUUCUUAGUUUAUCUAAACCAGUGCCUAUUUCCUGCCUCCUCCCUGGAUUGUUAUGAAGCAAAUCACAGGUACCGUAUUAUUUCAUGCAUAAGUAUUUCAGUAUGUAUUCCCAAAAGAUAAGGACUCUUAAAAAAAAAUAACCACAGUAUGUCAUUAACACAUAUAAAAAAUACUUAUUCAAUAUCAACAAAUAUUCAGUUAAUAUUCAGAUUUCUUUCUUUCUCCCUCCUCCCCCGCUCCCUCCCUCCCUCCGUCCUUCCUUCCUUCCUGUAGUUGGUUUGUUCAAACCAGGAUUCAAACAAGGUCUACACACUGAAUUUGGCUCAUAUGUCUCAUAAAUGUCUCUUUUCACCUACAGUUCCCCCGCCAUCUUUUUUAUCUUUUUCUCCUGCGUUUCCUGAAGGUUAAAAAGUAGAUCCUGACAAUUGGCAUGAUUCAGGUAUGAUUUUUUUUAGCACAUCUGCUUUGUAGGUGAUGGUGUGUUCUUACAUCAAGUAGCAAUGUAGUAUCUGUUUGGGGGGUUUUUUUUCCUCUUUUUUUUUGUGAUGACUGUGCCCUAGAUUCAUUAUUUUAUUAGGGGUUUGCAAGAUGUGAUACUCCGAUUCUAUCAUUCCUUCUUCACUUACCAGCUGGAAUACGUCUAUAGACCUGGCAGGCUGAGUGCAAAAGAACUCAACAUGUCCGGUAGCAUUAGUGUUAUUAGCAUUUUAUUAGAUUUUUAGUUUUGUUCAUUUUCAUUAAAAUUUGUAUUGAAUAAAUACUAUGUAAAA